rnacentral:rRNA from 1 species
UACGUAGGGUGCGAGCGUUAAUCGGAAUUACUGGGCGUAAAGCGUGCGUAGGCGGUUCGUUAAGUUCGUUGUGAAAGCCCCGGGCUCAACCUGGGAAUGGCAAUGGAAACUGGCGGGCUUGAGUAUGGCAGAGGGGGGUGGAAUUCCGCGUGUAGCAGUGAAAUGCGUAGAGAUGCGGAGGAACACCGAUGGCGAAGGCAGCCCCCUGGGCCAAUACUGACGCUCAUGCACGAAAGCGUGGGGAGCAAACAGG